UCCAAGACGCCCAAUAUGUUUUCGCCUUAAUGUUGAUAGGAUCUUCAUCUUCUUGUUCGUCCAGUUCCUGGAGAAGGUUUCGAAUCUUCUCACAUUCAGCAUCCGGAUCCAUACUGCAACAAACAAAUUGAAUGGAUUUUUAGAAUAUUAACACAAUGAUCUAAGUAGAAUGUAGGCCUAAUGUGUUGUAUGGUUCUUGACAAACAAAAAAAUAUUCAUUAUUUUAAGAAUAGAAAAAAAAAUUAUACUUGAAAUGGAGAAGUUGAUCCUGUAUGUGACAAAAACUAUUAACAUGAAUGGUAGCGUGGCGGUCCAGCGACACCCCAAUCACUUUGAACAGCUGUAGUGAAUCAGGAGAUACACAGACCUACGUAAAUUGGCUGUCAACUGAACAGUCUGAAGGUAGAAGGGAGGUACUGCAAGUGACAGAACUGCUACCAACUGCACAAGAAAAAAAUUCCCACAUUAAUAGUGAUGGGCUCUUUCAAGACCCCACGUUAACAAUUGAAGGCUAGAGAGAGAAAAUAGCUAUCCCUGGACAGCACAGACACAUUUUCCAUAAUGUGACAACACACUUCAUCCUCCAUUGUCUAGAGAGAGAGAGAAAAUAGCUAUCCCCGGACAGCACAGACACAUUUUCCAUAAUGUGACAACACACUUCAUCCUCCAUUGCUAGAGAGAGAAAAUAGCUAUCCCUGGACAGCACAGACACAUUUUCCAUAAUGUGACAACACACUUCAUCCUCCAUUGUCUAGAGAGAGAGAGAAAAUAGCUAUCCCCGGACAGCACAGACACAUUUUCCAUAAUGUGACAACACACUUCAUCCUCCAUUGUCUAGAGAGAGAGAGAAAAUAGCUAUCCCUGGACAGCACAGACACAUUUUCCAUAAUGUGACAACACACUUCAUCCUCCAUUGUCUAGAGAGAGAGAGAAAAUAGCUAUCCCUGGACAGCACAGACACAUUUUCCAUAAUGUGACAACACACUUCAUCCUCCAUUGUCUAGAGAGAGAGAGAAAAUAGCUAUCCCUGGACAGCACAGACACAUUUUCCAUAAUGUGACAACACACUUCAUCCUCCAUUGUCUAGAGAGAGAGAGAAAAUAGCUAUCCCUGGACAGCACAGACACAUUUUCCAUAAUGUGACAACACACUUCAUCCUCCAUUGUCUAGAGAG